AACGAACGCUGGCGGCAGGCUUAACACAUGCAAGUCGAGCGGCAGCACAGCAGAGCUUGCUCUGUGGGUGGCGAGUGGCGGACGGGUGAGGAAUACAUGGGAAUCUGCCCAGUCGUGGGGGAUAACGUAGGGAAACUUACGCUAAUACCGCAUGCGCCCUUCGGGGGAAAGCCGGGGACCUUCGGGCCUGGCGCGAUUGGAUGAGCCCAUGUCGGAUUAGCUAGUUGGCGGGGUAACGGCCCACCAAGGCGACGAUCCGUAGCUGGUCUGAGAGGAUGAUCAGCCACACUGGAACUGAGACACGGUCCAGACUCCUACGGGAGGCAGCAGUAGGGAAUAUUGGACAAUGGGCGCAAGCCUGAUCCAGCCAUGCCGCGUGAGUGAAGGAGGCCUUCGGGUUGUAAAGCUCUUUUGUCCGGAAAGAAAAGCAUCCAGUUAAUACCUGGGUGUCCUGACGGUACCGGAAGAAUAAGCACCGGCUAACUUCGUGCCAGCCGCCGCGGUAACAC
rnacentral:rRNA from 1 species